rnacentral:sRNA from 1 species
UAUACCAAUGGUGUAGCUCUGCAGGCUA